CGUCGCAACAACCUCAGACGGCUCGCUCCGCUCGUCGCCGCCCGCCCUCUCCAGCCAUCGAUUCGCACGCCACCGCAACGGCCGUCGUCGUCAUCGUCUCCGUCACCAACCGGUCUACAUUAUACCAACAUCCUGGUGGACGGACCUUCAGCCAAAUCAAAGCCUCAGGUUGUGAUAUUGUCCUGUCACAGCAGUACUAAUUGAACUACUGCUGCCGCGGGACAUGACCACUACCUAGGCGUCCACAUCGCUAAACCGCCCCAAGCUACCACACCGCCGCCGAUCAAUCCGCCAGCCAGCAAACUAGUGAACAGUGCAAACUCCCUUUAUGCCAAAUAACACACACACUCUCGCCGUAGCACUCACACACAAUCAUCCACAACAGCCAUCUAAUGAAAAACACAUCAAAACUCAGCCACACACACCAACAAAUGACCAAAUAAACACAAAAAACACUCAGUAAAAUUAAAACUAUAUGUAAGCGUAAUAGACAUGUAGACACACAUGUAAAUGGUUGUGUUUUGUAUUACUAUUUUUAAAUUAUUGAUUGCAAUGUUGCGCACCUAAAACUUUCUUUGUUUGCACCGCGCGCCGCCCUCGCGUUCCUUCCGGAACGACAGAGGCAGGCAGCGUCCUAAUUUCUAGAUAAGGCACACGUUUGCUUUCCAAACUCUGUAUCUCUUUUUGUAUCAAGUGUGUGUAAGCAGCAGCGAGCGCAUAGUUUUGAACAUAAUUAAAGUACAAGUUUACAACUUUUA